GACCAACUCUAGCACGCUCCAAGCCCUCUAUUAUAUUGUGAUUUGUGUGAGGAGAAGAAAGGAGUCCCAGGAAGAGAUCAGCCUGAACGGGAGAGAAGGAGCACCCAGAAGAUUCAGUGUGGCACUACCUGGGGACCUAAGAAGACAGCAGUGUCUGCUGUCUGUAAAAGGUGUAAGAAAGCAGCAGGAAAACGUUGCAUAAAGUUCAGGAAGAUGGAGGACAUCCUUUCAAAGACCAAAGACAGCAACUGUACUUCGGAAGCUGCGCAGCAGACUCACCAAGUCUUCAGAUGGGAGCAUACUGCCAAAACGGUCUCCCAUUUCGACAUCCGUUUCCUGCGCUCCAGCGUUGUGGGGAAGUCUUGGCAAGAGAGAGCCCUCUGCCACAAGUCAGGUUCCCCAUCUCUGAACGCUGUGCAAGACCUCUGGGAGGCAAUAUCUAUAUCUGGGGCACCUUUUCUGCCUGCUCGCCACCAUGGCCAGCAUCAACAUCCCCCUGUGCCAGUGCUUCCGAGUCCACCCCAGUUUUUUUCUGGAAGCUGCCACAUCAUGGAAUUGUGCCUUCUGGGUCAGAGAUGA
rnacentral:lncRNA from 1 species